CUCUGUCCUUAUCUAUCGCCGCGCACGCGCACAGAAUCAUUCUUCAGCGUCCGAUCUCCGAUCGAGCGUUGCUAGCCUCGUUCAUUUCGUUGCUGAAUUUUCCGGAAGACGCCAUGGGACGCCACGCGUCCCCUUCGAUCACGGAGAGUGCUGGAUUUGUAGUACCGUCCUCCCUUCGUGUCUUUCCUAUCGAGAAGCAGCCGCUAAGUAGCUUGCGCUUAUCGCCGCAAUCUUUUCAAAAAAGAUGGAAGAGCAGAUUGUGACUUGUUACACAUUUCAAAUCAGGUAUUCAUAUGUUCACCUGAAGAAUGGAUAAAAGCAAAUCUUGACCAUAAUAAGAAUUAAAAAUGUGAGAAAUACAUAAAAAGAAUGUGAUUUAUAAAUGGAAUAUGUAUUCUCGAGAUAAAUUAUCAUUAAUUAUAUACUCUUACUCAUAUUUUUCAACUUUCCAAUUAACUUACAAGAUUGAAGCAUAUAAAGUAUGAGAAUCAGAAUUAAAGUUAAAACAUGAUUACAUCAACACUUUUACACAGUCGCACAUCAUUUCUUAUGCAGAGAAUAUAAUGGAGGCUAUUAAUAUUCAUUGUACUAGGUUUCACAAUAAUGAACUACAUCAAGCUGGCAUCUCUUUAAAAACUGAUGUUUACAAUAUAGUAGCAAUGGGAUCAUGUGAUACUACUCGUAUAGAUGAUACUAUUUGAAGAUGCAGAUUUAUAUUAAUUUAUAAUGCAAUUGUGUGUGGAAUUCAUAUACAUAUUUGAAGCAUUUUAACACAUCAAAUAUGACUAAUAGUAUGGAAGUGAAUGGAGAUUGUGACUCGCUAAAUCGUCCAUCCUAUUGUAUGACCGAACCUUAUUGUUCAACCUUUUUCUCCUUUAGAUCCUUAAGCCUAAUACAGUCUUAGGAUCUGCACAUCUUUUUAACCGCACUUCCUCAAUCAAUCUUUCUUUAUAAUAUGAGGUAUAUAUAGGAUGACGAUCGGUAUUGAAUUUGAAAUCCAUUGAUGAGUUUUCAUACAAAGCUACUCAUCAUCCUAAAUACGAUUUUUAACACUUAGAAGAAAUAUAUUUGAUAUAAAGGAGGAGAGAAGAUAGAAGAUAAAGCGUAUGGAAUAAUAAACAAGAUGAAAUAAAUAGCAAAUAUAUUCCAUAGAAAUAUGAUUCUUUUAUUGGAGAACCUUUACAUCUAAGGUACAAAAUGCGAAGUAAUACGCGUUCCUUUUGGACUAGAUACUCAUUCCACGAGAAAUAAUGGCGUGAGAUAGCACGAUGGUGUUAUUUGUAUUAACGAUCGCAUCAAGUGAUUUGUCAACUUUAUACGCAAACGCUAUCACAUCUGAUCUCACCAUUCUACCGCCGCACUGAAGUCGGAUACCAUGUCUGCGCAGACCAAAGCCGGAUCAGAGCAGUCAGGCUUAGCGGGACACCAUUCCCUGUGUUUUCUGGAUUGCAGAAUGCCUCUAGGAUCGCGAAUGAGUAGAACUAGUCUUACACCUAGACUGCAAUACAAACAAACGCAUGUUUUUACAAUAAUAUUCAAAUGAUAUCUAAAGAAUAUUUUCUCAUGCUUUAUCAUGAGUUCUUACUCUUCCUCGGCCAAAAGGCUUUCUGCCACACGCAACCUCAGUCGUACAAGCUUCAUUGAUUGGAAUGGGAAGAGUCGACAAAAUUUGGAAACAAAACGCGGAUCCCAGCAGAUGCGUUUAUGCGCUUGGCAUUGUCGCCAUAAAUGCGUAUUGUGAUUGAAUACCCAAGGAUGAGUCUUCCCGUAAUCCAGAGAAAUUAUCCUUGUCAAGGAUUCUUCAGCGAGUGGCGACUCUCGGAUUUGCACAAUUCCAUAGUCGAGUAACGGUUCGUAAUGAUAAAAAUUGGCCGGAUGCGCAUUCACCACGUCACCGAGGAACGUGCUGCCGCUUCUCCAACUUGUUAGAAUUAUGCUUCUCAUGGGUCUACCGCCCUUCUCCAUCACCAGAUCUUCAAGUUUGCUAUCAAAACAGGUAAAAAGUUAAACGUUCUGAUUGUCAACGGUACGAACUACAUUCCGGCGUGGCUUACCUCACAUUUAUUCCAUAUCUUCCGUUUGGAUACUCAUAAUUUUCCAUUUCCUUUUUAAUCGCCUUCCUCUCUUGAUCGACCACCUCCUGAAUUUCGGUGAUCGUGGCAUUGUCCGUGGAUCCCGUAAUAUAUGCCUAAAAAACAAGUUGAGACCGAUUACUAAACGGGAAAUUAUCACUUACUAUCUGUUAGCAAAAUUACAUAUAAAUGCAGUGUUAGAAGAUACUUUAUUUUUGGAACGUAUGCAGUAUACAUGUCCUAAAUAAGUAAACAGAAAAAGUUCACAUUUUUUUUUAAUUUAAUUACAUAAAAGCAAAUUUCUACAGCAGGCAGUUUAAUUACUCUACUAACGAAGAUAAACUUGAAAACUUUAUAUAAGCGUUAUUUUAUUUUAAAACAAUAUUUUUAUAUUUUCAUCUUUUUAUACGUACAUUUUAUGUAUACAAAAAAAUAAAAUGUACGUAAUAAAGAUGAAUAUUGUUCAUAAAUAAGCCAUGGAUAUUUUUAAUUCAUAAUCCACGAACAGAGGAAAUGCGUCAGUGAAAAGCUAAAAUAAGUAGAAACAUAUAUACAAUGAGUAGGCGCUUUGCGAAGUAAUAAUUAUUCAUCAAAGCUUAGUAUAAAGCAUCAUACAGCAAAGGAAAAUAAAGUCUCGAGUUAAAACGCAAA